UACGUAGGUGCGAGCGUUGUCCGGAGUUACUGGGCGUAAAGGGUGCGCAGGUGGCCGUGCGCGUGGGAGUGAAAUCGCCCUGGCUUAACUGGGCGGGGGCUUUCCACGACGGCGCGGCUUGAGCCACAGGAGGGGGCGUGGAAUUCCGGGUGGAGCGGUGAAAUGCGUAGAUAUCGGAAGGAACACCAGUGGCGAAAGCGGCUUCCUGGUCCAGCACCGACGUCAGGCACGAAAGCGUGGGAGCAAACAGG
rnacentral:rRNA from 1 species